CUUUCGAGGGCUGCUGCAGGUUGUUUGUAUUGGAAGCAGCUUUCCCAUUAACAGAUGACAGCUGCAUUCCUUACACCGAGGCAGGAAAAGCAGCUCUGUGAGCCUCAGCAGGGGACAAGAUGUGUGAGCUGGUGGCACCGCGGGGGAAGGUGAGCUGCACGGAGCCAUGUGCUACUUUUAGAAGCUGUAGGUGUGAGUUAUAUUUAGCAUUCCCCAUUUGAUAAGCAAGAAAUUAUUCACAGUAAAACCCAUCUCCCCAACACAGUGACAGGAGCACAGACCCCCUCCAGUCUGCCAAACUCCUUUGGGCACAGGAAGCCUCACAAGAGCUUGUGUCACCUUUCAGCUGGCUGAAUUUUCACCCUGGGGAAGAAUAGUCUCUGUACCAUUGCUGAGACUUCUCACCAGGAUUUCUACUUCAGUUACAUAGAGCCCAGCUCACAAAACUGAAGCUCCACAUCCCUCCAGGUUUAGAAAAAUGAACAAUUUUGUUAGUUUUCAGUUUAUUUUUCUGUUAUAUUUUCAGUUUGUUGGUUAAUUUUUUGUCAAGCUUUUGGUUAAUUCCUAAUGGGCUGGGCCAUUUUCUGUUCAUUGAUUUAAUUCCAUGUCUGACUAGGAUAUGGGUACUUCGUAUGGCUCUGCCUAGGACUGGAAUCAUAUCAGAGACUUACAUCUCCUCAGUGCUCAUCCUUGUGGGAUGUUUUGGUGGAGGUGGAGGGUGGAGUUGGAUGGAGGUACUGCUGCAUGAGCCCUGGCUGGAAACCCCCUGCAGCCCUGUCAGAUUCCUACAGCAGUCAUCCCUUCCGUACAGAACAAGAAGGAAAGGUCAGUGCUGAUACACCCUUGAGGGGAGCAGGGUGGUCACAGCAGUUUCACCUCUGAGUAUUUGGAGGAGUUGGUGUGUGUGAGAUUGAUGGCUGAGUGUGCAUACGCAAGUAGACCACAAAUUUCAUCUUCCUUUCUGGUUUUAUCACCUCUUUUUUUUCCACCCUGCAAUCUAAGGCUGCAAUCUAAGAAAGUAUUUGCAUGUCAUUAGUGGCUUAAAAAAGAACAAAGAGAAGAAGGUAGAGUCCCAACUUCACAAUUUGUGUUUUUCCAGCAGUAAAAGUCCAUCCUGCCCACACCUUUCCCUUCUGCCCUCUCGAACGGAACUCUCAUUUCUUUAGAUAUUUUGGAGAUAAAAGCAAAAUCCCCAGUGCUCACCAAAAGGUUUAGCUGCAGCCUUAUUUCCUACUGCUUUUUCCAAGGGAAGGAAUUCCCUGCAUUUUGAACCUGGCUGGAAUUUAUGGUACCAGCAGGUUCAGCCAUCCAGGCUGGGUAAGGUUAGAUGGCACUCAAAGGGUUGGAACAAAUUGACCUUUAAAGAUCCCUUCCAACCCAACCCAUUCUAUGGUUCUAUGAUUCAACACAUACCAUCCAUUCCUUCCAUUUAAUAAUCCUUCCAUUCCAUGCUGUAAUCUGUUUUAUCUCCACUGCCACAGCAGUGCCAGGGACAGGCAGGGUCCUGAACCCCCCAGAGAUGGGGGCAAACAUUCCAAUGCACGCUGCCCCACUAAG